rnacentral:sRNA from 1 species
GAAAGUGGCUGAAUGAGAAAUGUAGAUUGCAGAGGGCAACUGGUGUGUUUAUAUUCCUGACAUUAUUUGGGUUUUCCCCCCUCAGGCAGAAGCUGAGGAAGAUUGUCAUUCUGAUACUGUCAGAGCAGAUGAUGAUGAAGAAAAUGAAAGUCCUGCUGAAACAGAUCUGCAGGCACAACUCCAGAUGUUCCGAGCUCAGUGGAUGUUUGAACUUGCUCCAGGUGUAAGCUCUAGCAAUUUAGAAAAUCGACCUUGCAGAGCAGCAAGAGGCUCUCUCCAGAAAACAUCGGCAGAUACCAAAGGAAAACAAGAACAGGCAAAAGAAGAAAAGUUAAGUAUUAUAGAUAUUGUAACAAAUUACAUUUUUUUUUUGGCACAUGGAAAUUUUCACUGACACAGUAAGUAGGCAUUAUAACCAGACUUUCGGGACAUAAACACAUACCUUGUAAAAUA